UACGGGGGGGGGGCAAGCGUUGUUCGGAAUUACUGGGCGUAAAGGGUGCGUAGGCGGCGCGGUAAGUCGGGUGUGAAAUCUCGGGGCUUAACUCCGAAACUGCAUUCGAUACUGCCGUGCUUGAGGACUGGAGAGGAGACUGGAAAUUUACGGUGUAGCGGUGAAAUGCGUAGAUAUCUGGAGGAACACCGGUGGCGAAGGCGGCAUCCUGGACCAACACUGACGCUGAGGAGCGAAAGCCAGGGGAGCAAACGGG
rnacentral:rRNA from 1 species